AGUCAUACCAGUUUGGACCCAAGGUUUAUAUUCUGUUUGGAGAUAUGCCCGGAGAUGGAUUCUUUUUCUAAUUCUGCUGGUUCCAAUUGCCUUUUAUUGCUGGAAGCAAAAGAGCACAUCUCAAUCACAGGAACAAUUUCAACUAAUGGAAAAGAAAGAGAAAAAUCAUCUUUCAGUGAUGGAGCCUCAAGCAGAAACACCCUCAUCAGUCAAGUUUCCCCAGGACUCUGAGGCCACCUACAGCAAUGUUCAGGACUUUUCCACUCAGAAGAAGCAACUUACAGAAGAGGAAGAAGAGGGGCCAUUGUAUAUAAACUUGAUUGCAGGA